UACGGAGGGUGCAAGCGUUAUCCGGAUUCACUGGGUUUAAAGGGAGCGCAGGCGGAUUUGUAAGUCAGUGGUGAAAGGCUUAAGCUUAACUUGGGAACUGCCAUUGAUACUAUAAGUCUUGAAUGUUGUUGAGGUUUGCGGAAUGGGUCAUGUAGCGGUGAAAUGCAUAGAUAUGACCCGGAACACCUAUUGCGAAGGCAGCAGGCUAACCAAAUAUUGACGCUGAGGCUCGAAAGCGUGGGGAUCAAACAGG
rnacentral:rRNA from 1 species